UUGCUAAGAAUGUAAAAUGAACCUGUGCAAGGGUAUCCGCACUGCUUCCUGGAGGCACAGCUGGAGGGACAAACCACGGAGGGCACCUGACAAGAUAGAUCUCUUCUCACAUUACAGAUCUCUGGAACCAGAGAAAAUGGUGGAAUUAUGGCGGCCAUGUGCUCCUGGUGGGAAUGCAUAUGAUGCAGUUGCUUUGGAGAAGCUGUUUCUUAACGUUAAACAUACACUCACCAUGUGACCCAGCAGUGCCACUUCUAAGUAUUUACCCAAGUAAAAUGGAAACUUAUGUUCACACAAAAGUACUAAAUUGUCUAUAGCAGCUUUCUUAUUCAUCACCCAAAUCUGGAAACAACUCAAAUGUUCUUCUACUGGUGAGCUCCAUCCAUACCAUGGACCCCACUACGGAUUCACACACACCACGGGUGACUCAAAUUCUGCUGAGUGAAAGAUGUGACACUGAAAAGCCUAUAUACUGCAUGAGAGUCUGGAAAUGGCAAAAUUAGAGGAUCAAAAAAGAGACGAGUAGAUGCCAGGGCUGAAGGUGGGGAGAAGGGCUGACUUACAAAGGGCAUAAUGGAAUUUGUUGGGAUGGUUGGAGUUUUGUAUCUUGAGUGUGGUGGUGGUCACAUGACAGUAUGCAUUUGUCAAAACUACUGUAUAAAAGUUAUAUCUCAAUUAAAAUAUGAGGACAAUUAAAUUCACAAACUCAUCCUAGUAAAAGUGCUACAUGCCUCAUUGCUGAAUAUCACUAUGGUCACC